rnacentral:rRNA from 1 species
GACGAACGCUGGCGGCGUGCUUAACACAUGCAAGUCGAGCGGUAAGGCCCUUUCGGGGGUACACGAGCGGCGAACGGGUGAGUAACACGUGGGUGACCUGCCCUCAGCUCUGGGAUAAGCCUGGGAAACCGGGUCUAAUACUGGAUAUGACUCCAUGACGCAUGUUGUGGGGUGGAAAGCCUUGUGCGGCUGAGGAUGGGGCCCGCGGCCUAUCAGCUUGUUGGUGGGGUGAGGCCUACCAAGGCGACGACGGGUAGCCGGCCUGAGAGGGCGACCGGCCACACUGGGACUGAGACACGGCCCAGACUCCUACGGGAGGCAGCAGUGGGGAAGUCUUGCGCAAUGGGCGAAAGCCUGACGCAGCGACG